GGCUCAGUGAUCCAAUGGUAAAUCGCUCGUCGCAAAGCCAGAAAGUCCUGGGUUCGAUCCCCAACAGGGUCA
rnacentral:tRNA from 1 species